rnacentral:rRNA from 1 species
UACGUAGGGGGCAAGCGUUGUCCGGAUUCAUUGGGCGUAAAGAGCGUGUAGGCGGCCAGGUAGGUCGGUUGUGAAAACUGGAGGCUCAACCGAGGAACUGCGUCCGAUACUGGCAGGCUGGAAUCCGGGAGAGGGAUGUGGAAUUCCAGGUGUAGCGGUGAAAUGCGUAGAUAUCUGGAGGAACACCGGUGGCGAAGGCGGCAUCCUGGACCGGUAUUGACGCUGAGGCGCGAAAGCUAGGGGAGCAAACGGG